rnacentral:lncRNA from 1 species
GUUGAUUUGUAUGUUAUUGAGGAAACAAAGAAGUGUCAAAGAUUAUUUUCUUACACAUCCUUUCUGAAUUUAAAAGUAAUUCUCGAAGUAAUCUAGUUUUUCAAAAUAAUCUGUAAUCUGAUUACAAUAUUUUUGUACUUUUUGUGGAUUACAGUUACACGUUUUUUUGCAAUCCCUUACAUGAAACGAUUACAUGUAAUCCGUUACUCCCCAACCAUGGAUAAGCAUAUAUAGAGUCAUGGAAAUAAUAUAUACUAUGUAGCCUUUGAAUUGACAGAGAUUUCUAGAAGGUUCUGAAAUUCUGAUCCGUUAGGGUUUGACGUGCACUCUCGCGCUUUCACUCGCCUCCAGCGCAUGCCUGGGACUAGAGUCGUGCAACAGCGUGGCUAAUUGCGCUGAUAAUCGCCAACAAAUAUUUCAUAUUAUCUGGAACAGAUGCUGCUGUCAUAAAGUGUGAAAACAGAAAAGGAAACACUAUUCUGUAUGUUACAAUUACAAAACAGAGACAUUGUCCACCGUAGCACGAACAAGUGCUGCGAAACUGGAAAAUAUGGUUAGGCCUACGCAUUAGGUAAAUUCACCACCCAGCCCUACUCAUAAAGCCCUACUCAUAUUUAUAUAUAUAAAUCUCAAAAUACUAUUUUUAUACCAUUGUGUGAAUGCUGUAUUUACAUAUUGUACAUCAAAGGCAAACUUGCGGUACAUUUUGAAAUAUGACAUUCAUCUCUACACAACGUAACCAUUAUCAAACAGCUGGUAAUAUCGUUUGUUGUUUCUAAUUCUGAAAUAAAUAUUGCAGAUAUUUUUUAUACAACUUCUUAUGAAAUAUUUUACGUUUGAAAUAAAUAAUUAGCACUUUUUAAUCAUAAAAACAUGCGUUCCAUUCCUCCUAUUUAGUGAAAAUGCUUGCCUACAUAUAGUUAGAAAGGACCCUUAUAAAUGCUAUGUCAGAGCAAAGCCUACACAAGAAUCCUCCUUAGUUGAACCAAAAUGUAACUUGAAAAACUAUUAUAGACAGAUUUGUUUCAAGAAGUAGCCUCUCCUCCCAUACAUUCAACCUAAAAACACGAAUUAUUACAGCAGUAAUAUUUAGCCAGAGUACAGGCUACCACUUCAGGCUGAGAAUUUAGUUUCACUCUAUUUCUCAGGCGGACACCCCCAGGCUACAUCAUAAUCCCAUGCCCCCAGAACAGCGCGGUAGGCAAGGGGGCAGUGCCCACUGCCAGCUAAGGGAUCCAGAAGUCAGCAGCAAAAAUGCCAAUCAUAUCGAAGCGCUAAGAACCCGUGUACUACUAGUCUAUCUCCCCAUCUCUCUCUCCCCCUCUCUGUGUCUCUCUCUCUCUCCCUCUCCCCCUCUCUCUCUCUCUCUCUCUCUCUCUCUCUCUCUGUGUGUGUCUCGCUGUCUCUCUGUCGCUCUCUCGACAUUAAGCAAAUAUAACACAAUAAACCAGGCAUUGCGUAAAACAGAUGUGUCGUCAGUGAAACACUGUGACCUUUAGAUCUGAGAAUAAAUAACUUUUAAUGAAGCUAAAUGUUAUUACAACAUAAUCUAGAAGUUUUUGCAAUGCACGAGGCUACUCAAAAUAAAACAUACAAAGCCCAUAACCAUAAAAACGUAGUGUAAAACUACCAUUAUCGUCAUUAGGAUAUAAUUUUCAAACUGCAGCAUUACAAAUUACGGUAGUAGGGUAGUUUAGUGGGCUAGCCUACCUUUGGCAGCAUCGACCUCCUUUCGCUGUUCCCUUUCUCAGUUUCACCACUGGUCAUCUUCUGAGGAACCGCUGGAAAGCGGACUAUAUCCUGCCGAACGAGCUGCGCUAAUCCAACUUUCAAAGAAAUAGAAAGAGAAUGCAAAAAAACGGUCAAGUGUUCUAGAACCGACAGUAAGGACUACAGAGUUUGACGCGGAUCUUUGAUGUACUUCUAGUCUCAGAACUCGAUUCGGAGGAGCGGAGGAGAAAUCGACCGGCGCGCGUUUGGGUGCAAUGAGAGGAGAGCCACACAGUCAGUGCGCGCGGUGUCAGUUUUGCACCGGUGUGACGUCAAACAGAAGGGGUCCCGACUCUGUAGCUGCUUGUUGGAGUAUCAUCGCUCUCUUAUCUUAUUAGCCACCAAAGACGAUAAAGAGAGAAACGAUGCGCACAGGACUAUUGGCCUGCGACUGAUGGUCAGUCUGAGAGGAGGCAGGGAGCAGCAGUGAGGCUCUCACCAGACUCAUCGUCCCUCCACUCUCCCUCCCUCCACUGAGAAAAGGGGACAGUCUUCCAGCUGAUGGAGAAACUCAAGUCACACUGCAUUAUUUCUGCCUCAUGCACCAAUUCAUGUUGUUACUGCUAUGACCAGAGAAAGUGAAAUAUUCCUCCAUAUUAAAAAAGACACAAGCCGCUAAUAACAACAAUGCAGGCUUUAAUAUCGUAACACUUUGCUACAUUCAUUCAUUGCAACUUCAGUGAUGGUUGUAGCGUGAGUGGAAGUAGGGAGAACGUGCAUUUUAUGGCUUAAAAAAGUUUUGACU